rnacentral:misc_RNA from 1 species
GAAAACUGUUAAGCCGCGGAACUCAAACAUGCGAAUGUUAGGGAAAGCGCUUCCUCUAAAAUUUUCCCGCCAUAUUUGUACUCUCUCAACGGCCAAUCUCACCGACCGUCACCUCCCCCAUAACAAUAACUUAGCUUGUGCAAGCAAACCGUCUGACCAAAACCCAACAUUCCAAAACGUGAUGUCGUUGAACAAAAUCCUCUCGACCUGCGUGCAAUCAUAUCGAAUACAGCACACCGAAGAGCUGUUCGAUAAAAUGCCUCUAAAAGACGUUGUUUCUUGGAACAUCAUGCUAUCGGCUUUUAACAAAACCAGAAACCCUGCACGAGUCUGUAAGUAUUUCAAAGAAAUGCAAAGAGUCGGCAUUAUACCCAAUGAGUACACAUUCUCAAUAGUGCUCAGCGCGGUUCUGGAUAAAAUUUUCAAUAUUAUAGUGCCCCAAAUUCAUGCACGAGUAAUUUCCUUAGGACUUAAUUUGAGUUUGUUUGUCGGCUCUGCUUUGAUAAGAGCAUAUGCAGCUGUUGGGGAUCAAAUGGCUUUAAGUAGAGUAUUUGAUGAAAUGUCGGCGAAAAAUAUAACUUCUUGGAAUGCUUUGGUUUCGGGUUAUAUGGAAUUGGGAUGCAUAAGUGAGGCUCAAAGAGUUUUUGAUGUGAUGCCUGAGAAAAAUACCGUUUCUUGGACUAUUUUGGUUAAUGGAUACAUUGCCAAUAGGAGAAUUAACGAGGCUAGGUCUUUGUUCAACAAGAUGAGUAAUAGGAAUGUAGUUUCUUGGACUGUGAUGAUUAGUGGGUAUGUACAAAAUGAAAGAUUUGUAGAUUCCUUAAAGCUGUUUUGCUUGAUGGUGCAAUCUGAUACUGGACCUAAUCAUUUUACGUUUUCUAGUGUUUUAGAUGCUUGUGCAGGGUGUUCUUCUCUUCUUAUGGGGCAACAAGUUCACUCAGUUAUUCUGAAAGCUGGUGUACCUCAUGAUGUCGUCUUGUUGACUUCACUUGUUGAUAUGUAUGGGAAGUGUGGUGAUAUUGUAGCAGCAUUUUGCAUUUUUGAGUCCAUGAAAAAUAAGAAUCUGAUGUCAUGGAAUUCAAUAAUAGGAGGAUAUGCUAGGCAUGGACUUGCAACAAGAGCAUUGGAGGAAUUUGAGAGAAUGAUAAAGAGUGGUGUUAGGCCAGAUCAGGUUACAUUUCUUAACAUAUUGUCAGCAUCUGGACAUGGGGGACUGGUGGAAGAAGGUGAAAAGCACUUUGGAUCAAUGGGGGCUAAGUAUGGAAUAAAAGCAGGGCUGGAGCAUUAUACGUGCAUGGUGGACCUAUAUGGGAGAGCAGGUCAGCUGGACAAAGCAGAGGAACUGAUCAAGGGAAUGCCCUAUGAGCCUGAUGUUGUUGUGUGGGGUGCAUUGCUUGGCGCCUGUGGCAUACAUUCUUCUCUGGAACUUGGUGCGUUUGCUGCAAGGGGAAUUAACAAGUUGAAAGAAGAUCAUCCUGUAGCUUAUUCAAUGUUGUCAAAGAUUCAUGGUGAAAGAGGGGAAUGGAAUGGUAUUGUUGGGUUGAGGAAGAUGAUGAAACAGCGGCAUGUUAAAAACCAGAAGGCAGGUAGUUGGAUCGAAUCUCCUUUGAGCGUAAGAUGAACAAAAUAACAGUUCCUCAUUCAAGGACAACCGCGUACAUCUUUCAUGGACUGCUGUCCUUUAGUCUGUCCGGCCUGCUGCCUUAGGGUCGACCAAUAGUGAUCUGGUUUAAUGAAAUGUUCAAACUUGAAAAUCCAACACGAAAUGAUCUGGUAUUGCAUUGAUCAGUAAAUGUGUGGGAUUUUGGAGCGACAACAGAAUCAUAAUGAGGAAGAAGAACGUCUUCAAGGAAGAAUACAAGAAUGUCUUUAAAGCAGGAAAGGAAGGAGGAAGACGAAAAGAUGAGUCCAUCAAAAACAUUAGAUUAGCCGCGUAUACCUCUUUUCAAUAUUCACUUGUUCUCAUGGUAAAUAUUACACAAGGAUACUAGACUCCUUGUAAAAAUUAUAAAAAUU